rnacentral:rRNA from 1 species
AGCGAACGCUGGCGGCAGGCCUAACACAUGCAAGUCGAACGAACCUUUCGGGGUUAGUGGCGGACGGGUGAGUAACACGUGGGAACGUGCCUUUAGGUUCGGAAUAACUCAGGGAAACUUGUGCUAAUACCGAAUGUGCCCUUCGGGGGAAAGAUUUAUCGCCUUUAGAGCGGCCCGCGUCUGAUUAGCUAGUUGGUUGAGGUAAUGGCUCACCAAGGCGACGCUCAGUAGCUGGUCUGAGAGGAUGAUCAGCCACAUUGGGACUGAGACACGGCCCAAACUACUACGGGAGGCAGCAGUGGGGAAUCUUGCGAAAUGGGCGAAAGCCUGACGCAGCCAUGCCGCGUGAAUGAUGAAGGUCUUAGGAUUGUAAAAUUCUUUCACCGGGGACGAUAAUGACGGUACCCGGAGAAGAAGCCCCGGCUAACUUCGUG